rnacentral:lncRNA from 1 species
CUGCAAGAGAAAAGCCCAAGGGCCUAGGUAAACAAUGGACAGCAUCCUGGAUGAUGAUGCAAUUUUAAGCCUGAAAAGAAUAUUUGGUCUUCAAUCUUGGCAAGCAUACCUGUAAAGUAGAUGGUAAGGCUGCUGAUGAGAACCAUUUGAAAAAAAAUGAUCAAUGAGAAAAUUGCACCAGAGGACCCAUAUCGGGACUUUUGAGUUGAACACAUUACUUAGCAAAUGCUAACAUGGGAACUUGAGGAUAUUUAGUGAACCUGCUGAAGUUAACACAUUAAUGCAACUGAAACCAAUAGAGAAGAAGCUAUCUAUUAACCUUGGCAUUUUGGGGUCUAGAAAAAGCUUUUACCCACUAUUGUGCUUUGUAACCUAUAAAAUAAAUCAAAAUAAAUCAAAACAUAACA